rnacentral:rRNA from 1 species
GACGAACGCUGGCGGCGUGCUUAACACAUGCAAGUCGAGCGGUAAGGCCCUUUCGGGGGUACACGAGCGGCGAACGGGUGAGUAACACGUGGGUGACCUGCCCUCAGCUCUGGGAUAAGCCCGGGAAACUGGGUCUAAUACCGGAUAUGACUCCAUGACGCAUGUUGUGGGGUGGAAAGCCUUGUGCGGCUGAGGAUGGGGCCCGCGGCCUAUCAGCUUGUUGGUGGGGUGAUGGCCUACCAAGGCGACGACGGGUAGCCGGCCUGAGAGGGCGACCGGCCACACUGGGACUGAGAUACGGCCCAGACUCCUACGGGAGGCAGCAGUGGGGAAUCUUGCGCAAUGGGCGAAAGCCUGACGCAGCGACGCCGCGUGAGGGAUGACGGCCU